GAAUCUUGCGCAAUGGGCGAAAGCCUGACGCAGCGACGCCGCGUGAGCGAUGAAGGCCUUCGGGUUGUAAAGCCCUUUCGACGGGGACGAUGAUGACGGUACCCGGCGAAGAAGCACCGGCUAACUCCGUGCCAGCCGCCGCGGUAAGACGGAGGGUGCUAGCGUUGUUCGGAAGCACUGGGCGUAAAGGGCGCGUAGGCGGCCUUUGGUGUCGGAUGUGAAAGCCCGGGGCUCAACGCCGGAGGUGCAUCCGAAACUCGAAGGCUGGAGGCCGGAAGAGGAGGGUGGAAUACCCAGUGUAGAGGUGAAAUUCGUAGAUAUUGGGUGGAACACCGGUGGCGAAAGCGGCUCUCUGGUCCGGUCCUGACGCUGAGGCGCGAAAGCGUGGGGAGCAAACAGG
rnacentral:rRNA from 1 species